rnacentral:rRNA from 1 species
UACAGAGGUCUCAAGCGUUGUUCGGAUUCAUUGGGCGUAAAGGGUGCGUAGGUGGCGCCGUAAGUCAGGUGUGAAAUUUCGGAGCUUAACUCCGAAACUGCAUUUGAUACUGCGGUGCUUGAGGACUGGAGAGGAGACUGGAAUUCACGGUGUAGCAGUGAAAUGCGUAGAGAUCGUGAGGAAGACCAGUGGCGAAGGCGGGUCUCUGGACAGUUCCUGACACUGAGGCACGAAGGCCAGGGGAGCAAACGGG